GCCUGGCUGGCUCAGUCAGUAGAGCAGGAGACUCUUGAUCUUGGGGUGGUGAGUUCAAGCCCCGUGUUGGGCA
rnacentral:tRNA from 1 species